UACGAGGGGGGCGAGCGUUGUUCGGAAUUACUGGGCGUAAAGCGAGUGUAGGCGGUCUGAAAAGUCAGGUGUGAAAGCCCUGGGCUCAACCCAGGAAGUGCACUUGAAACUGCCAGGCUAGAGUAUCGGAGAGGUUGGUGGAAUUCUCGGUGUAGAGGUGAAAUUCGUAGAUAUCGAGAGGAACACCGGUGGCGAAGGCGGCCAACUGGACGAAUACUGACGCUGAGACACGAAAGCUAGGGGAGCAAACAGG
rnacentral:rRNA from 1 species